AUUGAACGCUGGCGGCAGGCCUAACACAUGCAAGUCGAGCGAGCGGCGGACGGGUGAGUAAUGUCUGGGAACCUGCCUGAUGGAGGGGGAUAACUACUGGAAACGGUAGCUAAUACCGCAUACCAUCAGAUGUUACCAGAUGGGUUUAGCUCGUAGGUGGGGUAACGGCUUACCUAGGCGACGAUCCCUCGAUUGUCUGAGAGGAUGACCAGCAACGCUGGAGCUGAGAAACGUUCCAAACUCCAACGGGAGGAAGCAUUGGGGAUAUUUGCACAAUGGGGGCAAGCCUGAGGAAGCAAUUCCAGGUGUGUGAAGAAGGCCUUCGGGUUGUAAAGAACUUUCAGCGGGGAGGCGUUACCCGCAAAAGAAGCACCGGCUAACUCCGUGCCAGCAGCCGCGGUAAUAC
rnacentral:rRNA from 1 species